rnacentral:rRNA from 1 species
AACAGCUCAAAUUUGAAAUCUGGCCCUAGGCCCGAGUUGUAAUUUGCAGAGGAUGCUUUUGGUGCGGUGCCUUCCAAGUUCCCUAGAACGGGACGCCAGAGAGGGUGAGAGCCCCGUACAGUUGGACACCAAGCCUUUGUAAAGCUCCUUCGACGAGUCGAGUAGUUUGGGAAUGCUGCUCAAAAUGGGAGGUAUAUUUCUUCUAAAGCUAAAUACCGGCCAGAGACCGAUAGCGCACAAGUAGAGUGAUCGAAAGAUGAAAAGCACUUUGAAAAGAGGGUUAAACAGCACGUGAAAUUGUUAAAAGGGAAGCGCUUGUGACCAGACUUGCGUCCGGUGAAUCACCCAGCUCUCGCGGCUGGGGCACUUCGCCGGCUCAGGCCAGCAUCAGCUCGCUGUCGGGGACAAAAGCUUCAGGAACGUAGCUCUCUUCGGGGAGUGUUAUAGCCUGUUGCAUAAUACCCUUCGGCGGGCUGAGGUACGCGCUCCGCAAGGAUGCUGGCAUAAUGGUCAUCAGCGACCCGUCUUGAAACACGGACCAAGGAGUCAACCUUAUGUGCGAGUGUUCGGGUGUCAAACCCCUACGCGUAAUGAAAGUGAACGCAGGUGAGAGCUUCGGCGCAUCAUCGACCGAUCCUGAUGUUCUCGGAUGGAUUUGAGUAAGAGCAUAUAGGGUUGGACCCGAAAGAAGGUGAACUAUGCGUGUAUAGGGUGAAGCCAGAGGAAACUCUGGUGGAGGCUCGCAGCGGUUCUGACGUGCAAAUCGAUCGUCAAAUAUGCGCAUGGGGGCGAAAGACUAAUCGAACCUUCUAGUAGCUGGUUUCCGCCGAAGUUUCCCUCAGGAUAGCAGUGUUGAACUCAGUUUUAUGAGGUAAAGCGAAUGAUUAGGGACUCGGGGGCGCUAUAUUGCCUUCAUCCAUUCUCAAACUUUAAAUAUGUAAGAAGCCCUUGUUGCUUAAUUGAACGUGGGCAUUCGAAUGUAUCAACACUAGUGGGCCAUUUUUGGUAAGCAGAACUGGCGAUGCGGGAUGAACCGAACGCGAGGUUAAGGUGCCAGAGUAGACGCUCAUCAGACACCACAAAAGGUGUUAGUACAUCUUGACAGCAGGACGGUGGCCAUGGAAGUCGGAAUCCGCUAAGGACUGUGUAACAACUCACCUGCCGNAUGUACUAGCCCUGAAAAUGGAUGGCGCUCAAGCGUCUCACCCAUACCUCGCCCUCA